CCUACGGGAGGCAGCAGUGGGGAAUUUUGGACAAUGGGCGCAAGCCUGAUCCAGCAAUGCCGCGUGCAGGAUGAAGGCCUUCGGGUUGUAAACUGCUUUUGUACGGAACGAAACGGUUCGCUUUAAUACAGUGGGCUAAUGACGGUACCGUAAGAAUAAGCACCGGCUAACUACGUGCCAGCAGCCGCGGUAAUACGUAGGGUGCAAGCGUUAAUCGGAAUUACUGGGCGUAAAGCGUGCGCAGGCGGUUAUAUAAGACAGAUGUGAAAUCCCCGGGCUCAACCUGGGACCUGCAUUUGUGACUGUAUGGCUAGAGUACGGUAGAGGGGGAUGGAAUUCCGCGUGUAGCAGUGAAAUGCGUAGAUAUGCGGAGGAACACCGAUGGCGAAGGCAAUCCCCUGGACCUGUACUGACGCUCAUGCACGAAAGCGUGGGGAGCAAACAGGAUUAGAUACCCUGGUAGUCCACGCCCUAAACGAUGUCAACUGGUUGUUGGGUCUUCACUGACUCAGUAACGAAGCUAACGCGUGAAGUUGACCGCCUGGGGAGUACGGCCGCAAGGUUGAAACGUCAAAUGAAUUGACGG
rnacentral:rRNA from 1 species